GACUGAACUUCAAAACGGGAACUUCAUACGCUACUGCGCAUCUUAGAAUAUUCCACCGGAUUGCUGCUCUUAACUGUUCCGGUGACGAUGUCCGAUCAAAACCCUAAAUGCUAAAUCAAUUUUCCCGCCGACCUAUCUAUUGUGUAUGUUAAAGAUGUUCAAGAAUUUGUUUUCCCCAAAUUCAUAUGCUAUCGACGCAGCUUAGAGUACUCCACCGGAUUGCUGCUAUUUACUGUCCCAUUGACGAUGUCCGAUCAAAACCCUAAACCUAAAUCAAUUUUCCCUCCGUUCUUUUGUGUUGCUUGCACAAAAGGGCAGUGACCGGUGAGGCUCUUCAAUGAAUUCUUGCUACUUCUGAUGACGAGGGCAUAUGUUUUACAUGGAAAUUGAUACUAUUUUUUCCAUCUGCUCAAGAAAUGGGGAGAAUUAAAGCGAAUACCAGAGGCUAUUUGGAGUUCAAUUUGAUCAUAGGUUGUCUUGUUGCUGGUGCCACCAAGGUAUCUGUUGCUAUAGGCAUUGGGACAUGCUAUGUUAAGGUGGUUGACAAUGGAUCUGGUGUCUCACGAGAUGGACUGGUGCUGAUGGGAGAAAGAUACGCGACAUCAAAAUACAACCAUUCAGAUGAUAUGCAUGCUUUCCCAGAAAGCUUUGGCUUUAAAGGGGAGGGUCUGAGCUCUAUUUCUGACGUUUCUUUGUUGGAAAUUGUUACUAAAACUCACUAGAGGCCAAAUGAAUAUCGUAAGGUUUUGAAGGACGGCAAGUGUUUGUACCUUGGAAUUGAUGAUUGUAGGCAAAAUGUUGGUACAACAGUCAUUGUUCGUGAUGUAUUUUACAACCAAUCAGUUCCAAGGAAGCAAAUACACUCCAAGUACCUCUAGUUUUCUCAAGAUCAAACAAGGAAAAAAUAUUGCUUUUACAUACUUUACUUGUAAAGUUGUACUCUGAUCUGAUUGUUCUUUUGGUUUGCAUACAUAAUCUUGAAGUCCAAAGAGGAUUUUGCAAUCUCGGAAAGAGUCUUUGCUAAGAAUCGCCCUUGCACAUUUCAGUGUCUCCUUCAAAAUUAUUUAUAUUGAAAGAUUUUGUUCAUUUGCAUGGUCUGAGGAUGACCUGCUUUUCACACGUUCUUCUCCUUCUCCUUGCUUGUCCAGUGAGUUUGGAUCUGAGUUCCCUUAACAAUUGCAUGCAAACGUUUGGUGCAUUCAAGCCUUAAGGAUAUAUCUCAGGUCUUGAUGUUUACACACUAAGGUAUACAGGCCCAAAUUGAUGGAUAAAGAGAUGUGAUAAGUCGUCUUUUCUACACUUUGUUUCCCUAACAACCAUUGUUUAAUUUGCAGGUCCUUUUGUAUUUCUGUAUCCACUUAUUUCAGUAUUUUUUCCUGACAAAAGAAACAAAAAACUAAUCUUUGGUUAACAUUUACUAUAUGUAUGCUUAUUUUUUACUGUGUUUUUGUUUUUCUUGACCUUCAUAAUGCAAAUAUCAAUUCAACAUUUGUUUCCAAAGGACCACUACCGCCUAAAUUACUUAAUAACAUAGCUAUGAGUUUUGACAAUGCUUCUGACAUUGGGCAGCGAAGUAGAUCUCAGAUAUAUCCACUGUUUUUGUUGAACUAAAACUGCCCAAGAUCUUUAUAUGAUUUGACUUUUGGAGCCUUCAAAGACCUCUAAGGAAUUUAAGGUGUGAUUUUUCGUUGGCAUUUAUGAUUUAAUUCUUUUUGGGGGUGGGAAACAAAUGUGAGUCUUUGGUUUUACUUUUGUAGAAUUGAGAUUGUGUUAGGUUUUAUUUUGUGAGAAUUGGUUUGGGUUGUUCACUGUAAAAAUAUAUUUUAAAACACCUAAUCAUUUCCUUGGAACUUUAAUGUGGGUGAAAUUAAUAUGUUAAAACUGGGUAAACAUCAUUAUUUAUUACCAAUCCUAUAGGAUUUCAAAGUAUUAAAAAGGACCCCCUAACAGUUAUAAGGCCCUUGCAUCACAGUUGUUCCCGGAGAACAGAAUAACCUCCCUUUUGUUAUGGGAAAACAAUGCAAAACCACGUUUCUAGCUUCUUUUGGUUGCAAAACUAAACAGGCCAAUGUUAACAAGGACAUGUCAUACAAUUUGUUUUACUGAUUGGAGUAUUAUAUUUCGUAUAACAAUGUGUUUGGUGUUUUCCAAAACUGACAAUUCUUCCAGUUUGAACUUAGUCUCCUGGUUUUUGCUUACCCAAUCAUUUCUGCUUCCCUUCAAAUGGAUUUUGCAGUUUUUCUCAAAAUUUACGCCAGUUUUCAUAAAUCUAGAUAUUUGCUAUAUCAAUCUUCUUGGAGCCUUGAUAUCUUUAGGAGAUGGUGACAUCCAGCUGUAUAUUGAUUUUUGAGUGGGAUCAGGGAUCAGGAGUUUCAAACUUGUAGGUCAAUUUUCCUACCUAUCUAUCUAUUGAUAUUCUACUGCUCUUGCCAUUAUCAUGAUAUUCUUCCAUCCAUUAAAAAGAAGGAAAAUUCAAGAAGUCGAUAUUGCAUGUUGAAUUUUUAAGAAAAAUUCAAGAACUUGUUGCCUUUUUGAAGUAACAUUGGUAUUCUUAAAUGCAUAUUUAAGAAAUUGUUGUUUUUAAGAAUUUAUUUUCAUGGAACAUAUCAAGGAAAUUCAAGAAGUCUUUAAAAAAAGUAAAUUAUGUUGUCAUCCUCGCUGUGUAUGUUAAGGAUGUGAACUGAAAAACAGGAUAUGCUACCGGCGCAUCUUAGAGUACUCUACUGAUUGCUGCUAUUAGUUGUCCCAUUGACAAUGUCCGAUCAAAACCCUAAAUCAAUCUUCCCGCCAUUGUAUCUGCUCAAGUAAAUACUACUGCUCUUCCCAUUCUCUUGGUUUUCUUCCAUCCAUUAAAAAAGAAAGAAGGAAAAUUGAAGAACUCGAUAUUGUCAGAUUAUCUUGGAAUUCUUGCAUACAUUCUUAUAUAAUAAAAAAAACAAGAACUUGUUGGCAUGCUUUCUCUUUAAGGAAAAUUCAAGAACUUGUUUGCGUUUUGAAGAAAUUGUAGUUUUUAAGAAUUUAUUGUCUAGUAACAUAUCAGGGAAGUUCAAUAAGUCUUUAAAAAUAAAUCAAUUAUGUUGUCAUUCUCGCAGCCUAUGUUAAGGAUGUUCUAGAAUUUGUUUUUACUUUUUUAGGGAAAUGAGGAACAUUAUUAAGCGAAUACUAGAGGCUAUUUGAAUUUCAAUUCGAUCAGGGGUUAUGAGGAGAUGGUUUUCAACAGCCUCGAUGCUAGUGCCACCAAGGUGUACUAAUUUACCCUUUCAAAGUUUCAAUACUGUAUGUGACUUUACUAGGUAUCGAAUGGAAUGAUGUGGAGUCGUUCUUGAAGCCCCACUCGCACAACUCUAAAAAAAAUUAAGUACUUUAAUUAUAUGAAGUUGUGAUUUGAAGUAUUUUGAAUGAAGACACUCAAUUGGACAGACUUCCGUAAACGCCUUCAGACCUCAGUGGCCAUUUUCCUUUACAUGGUCUAGACUUUUUGACUUCGAUCGUAUCUUAAAAAUGGAAAAUUGUGCCAUGUAAGAGAAUGGAAAUUAUGGUUCAUCUUUUUUGAUUUGUUAAUGUUUUGAAGUUCAGUAGAGGUGGGCUGCUCAUAACAUCAUAGUUAAGUGAAAAACGAUGGCAAGUCGUUCUAUUGUUUAGACUAAUUGCACCUGCAAAUUUGUGUGUUGCUUGCACAAAAGGCAUUGACAGGUGAGGCUUUUCAAUGAAUUCUUAUAUUCCGUUGUUUGCUACUUCUGAUGACGAGAGCAUAUGUUUUAUAUGAUAAUUGAUACUAUUUUUUCUCCUCUUAGUGUGAUGCUCCAUUAUGGUAUCAUUAUUUUUUUUCCAAAUGAAUAUUCUUCUAUUACAACUCUAUUUCUUUUUCCAAUGAGAUUUACUUCCUUAUAGGACUAUUCUUUUUAUGUUUGUUAUUCUUAUAAUAGUGUACUCUUAUCUGUUGCUAUUGGCAUUGGAACCUGCUAUGUUAAGGUGGAUGAAAAUAAUAAGUUUUAGUUUCUUUGACAUUGAUCUAAUGCAUUUUAAUGUGCAGAUAGUUCUGCUUACUUUAUUCUUUUACUUCAUCACCUGAAGUUGUACUUUCUUAAGAAAACAUCUGGUGUCUCAUGAGAUGGAUUGGUGCUGAUAGGAGAAAGAUAUGCGACAUCAAAAUACAACCAUUCCGAUGAUAUGCAUGCUUUCCCAGCAAGCUUUGGUUUUAAAGGAGAGGCUUUGAGCUCUAUUUCUGACGUUUCUUUGUUGGAAAUUGUUACUAAAACUCAUGGAAGGCCAAAUGGAUAUCAUAAGGUUUUAAGGACCGCAAAUGUUUGCACCUUGGAAUUGAUGAUUGUAGACAAGAUGUUGGUACAACAAUUAUUGUUGCUGAUGUAUUUUACAACCAACCCAUUCAAAAGAAGCAAAUGCACUCCAAUGAGGAUGACCUGCUUUGCACUCGUGCUUCUCCUUCUCCGUUGCCGCUAUUGUCCAGUGAGUUUGGGAUUCAUCUAAGUUCCCUUAAUGAAUUGAAUGCAAGUGAUGGUUCAUUCAAGCUCUCAGGAUACAUUUCAGAUAAAAGAUUUGAUAAGUUAUCUUUUCUACUCUCUGUUUCCGUAACAACCACUGUUUAAUUUGCAGGUCCUUUAAUAUUUUUGUAUCCACUUAUUUCCGUAUAUUUUCCUGACCAAAGAAAAAUGGAAAACUAAUCUUUGGUUUACAUUUUCUAUAUCGGAUGCUUGUUUUUUACAGUGUUUUCGUUUUCCUUGACAUUAGUAAUGUAGAUAUCAAAUCUAGAUUUGUUUGGAGUCUUGAUGAGUCAUGAUUUAGCCCCAAAAGAUUGGCUAAAUAAAUGAAGAAAUGAUUGGAUAGGAUUAACUGUUGUCAUAAAUGCAUACCUAAAUUACUCUUGAAAAAAAUGUGAUAGGGAUUGAUUGGAUAGUAUGAUCGGUCAAGAGGUAAUGUUGAUGAUAAUGUUUUGAGAUGGAGUGGAUUGGAGUCUAAUGUGACUAUACGAUAUAAUUUGCAUAAUUCGAUUUGAUUGGAGUCUUAUGAGUAUUUUGAGUAUAAACGAGUUGAGCAGUUUUACAUUAAAACGUCUAUUUUGAGAUGAGUUGAGGAGUUAAAAUUAUGUUUUAAAUGCAUUUAAUAUUUACUGCAUUCAUUGAGUUAAGAUUGUAUCAAAUCUAAAGAGAAGAGUUUGAUGAUUGAGAUGAGGUGAUUUUGAAAGAAGGUCCAUUGAGACCAGAUUGAUUGAGUUUUGAAAAGAGUCCAACGAGACUAAAUGAGUUGAUUUGAACUAAGUCCAAAAGAGACUAAAUGAGCAUUUUGAGUAUUUUACUCACCUGAUAGAUAUGAGCAUAUUGAGUCUUGAGAGGAGUAUCGAGCACUGAAUUGGGUAAGAGUAUAGUCCCUACUCGAAUCCUAUGAACUACGUAGCCAACGUAGUAAAGGAUUGAACCGUUAAAGUCGGAUGUUUCCUAUUUCAUUGUCCUGACAUGAUAGGACUUGAUUGAUUAUUAGAUCCAUGAUUGGUUGAUUCGUUCAUACCCUGACAAAGUCUUGAACGGACGUGGCAACAAUGUCGGCUUGUUGCACAACACUAGCUCAUAAGUGAUGGUUGUCAGUUAGAAAAACUCCCAAAUUGAGUGGAUUGUGCAUGAUAUGAUUGGUUUAAUUGAGAUUGUAAAUGAUUGAGUCGAAUUGAAAAACAUUGCUAAAUUUUAAUUUGCAUACUUGUUGAGUCGAGGCCUUUGAGUUUAUUAUUGAGUUGAUUGUGCAUGAUAUGAUUGGUUUGAUUGAGAUUGUAGAUGAUUGAGUCGAGUUGUAAAACAUUUCUAAAUUCUAAUUCACAUAUCUAGUGAGUUGAGUACUUUGACCUUAUUUGUUGAUUUGUAAAUGAUUGGAUUGGAUGGUAUAUGAUUGGAUUGGAUGGUAUGUGAUUGGAUUGUAUAUGAUUGGAUUGGAUCGGAUUGGAUAUGAUUGGAUUGGAUCGAAUUGUAUAUGAUUGGAUUAGAUCAAAUUGUAUAUGAUUGUAUACUAUAGCCUACAACUAUGGCUAUAGUAUUAUUGAUGUAGUUACUUUGUGCAGAAGGCUGAUGCAUCAUCCCACUGUAGUGAUAAUUAAACAAGUUUAAUUACUAACUUUUUGUUUUUAUGAAAUCAACAGAAUUUUUGGUGUAGUUGUCCUCAGUAAUUUUCAGCUUUUGUAAAAAAGGAAACCUUUAUUUUUUUCUAUUUUUGAUUUGCUAUUUAGAUUUUAUUUGUUAAGUGAAAAAUGUUACCGUUUUUUAUGCUAUGCUUAGUUUGUGGGCAUUAGUUCAAAUAAGCGUAGCAGUUGUCCCUAUUCUAGAACUUGAAUGGUAAAUUUGAUAUUUUGCACUGUUAAACUUAUAUAUUAUCAGCUUCGCAGUGAAGCAAAUGAUCUAGCCAAUCAUUCUUCUACCGAUUAUCCAAGUUUAGCUGAGUAGGAGGAUACCUGUUCAUCAUGUGGGAAAUAUAAAAACUAGAAAUACUCAAGAAUGAACUUAAGCAGAAAAAUAAAGAUUCCUCUUUAGAAUGUAGCUUCAUUCUUUGUUCCUUGCAUAAAUAUUUCUAAGUUAGGUCCCUGGGGCAGGCAUCUCCCCCAGAGCUUGUUUUCAUCGACUGUUGUGUGUCAAUUUGGUAGCAACGUGUGAUACUAAAUGGAACUCAAUGAAAAUAUAAGGCCGCUAUGUGAACAAAAUUCUCAAAGGUCAUAUAUGCAUUUGAAUUCUGUCGUCUAACAUUUAUCUUCUAUGUUACUAAAAAAAGUCUCCAUCUUUUGAAUUAGUUUUUGUGAGUUAGUUAUGUUGAAUAUCCAUUUUAUUAACAUGAUAUUAGAACUAUACCAACACGUCUAUGUUGUGUGCUUCUCAAUGUUUGGAAGAACUGCGUGAUAAGGUAAUGAUUGUCUAAAAAUUCAUUGAAGUGUCAUUUCAAUUUGGAAUCUAUAACUUAUUGAAUUAUCAGGUCCCGAUCGGAAAAAUGAGGACAACAACCUAUCCUGAUUCUGAGCAAGAAUUGGUGCGUUUAUUUUGAUAAUAGGUCAUUCCUGAAGUUGGUUACCAAUUACUACACAACUAUGCUGACCAAAUUCAAAACUGGGGUUGGAUCUGCAACAAUCAUUCUCAAACUUCAAUAUCAUUUACCAGAGUGGUACAGAUACAGAGGAAUGAGGAUCAAUAAAGCAAGUCAACUAAUUUUGGGGGUGAAGCAUAAUUGAUGGAUUGUUUCCAGAUGUUGCUUUUGUAUUUAUUUAUUUUCGUAGGUGCAAUUAUGCUUGGAGAUGCAUUGUUGUCUUCAGAAUGUUCUCUCAUUGUUGAGGAGUUAAAAGGAAACUUCAUUGUGCUUUUAAGUGAAUGGAAAAUUGCAUUUCAGAAAAUAUCUGCCUUGGAACUGCAUUUGAUGAUUUCGAAGUUAGGUUUGUGGAGUAAGAGUUCCUCCGAGGCAUGGCAGAGAUUAUAUUGGCAUGAAAUCAACCUUGAACGUGUAGCAAAGUUACUAAGAUCAGCCGUAUCCUAGUGUCUAAAAGCUCUCGUGAGUAUACCUAAUUUGGUUCUGCUUGCUACCUACUAAUUUCACUCUAAAGAUAUCCAGUUUGCGAUCAUCACGUUGAAGGAUAAUUUGGAUAUGGAGCUCGGUACAUCUAUACAGAUUCAACAAAUAAAUGUAUGUACCAAAUGUAACACUAGCUUUUAGUGGCAGCAACACUCUCUCAACACACACACACACACGAAAAAUAGGAAAAAGGAACGGAUUGUACAGUUUCCAUGUAAAGUCAGAGUAACUCAUUGUGUAUAGAAUGUAAAUACAAUAAAUUAGGUAAUUUGAUUGUAAUAUCAUUUAUUUGUUGAAAUGAUUAAAUUUGUAUG